rnacentral:misc_RNA from 1 species
GAUGAAGAACGCAGCGAAAUGCGAUAAGUAAUGUGAAUUGCAGAAUUCAGUGAAUCAUCGAAUCUUUGAACGCACAUUGCGCCCCUUGGUAUUCCGAGGGGCAUGCCUGUUCGAGCGUCAUUAUAACCCCUCAAGCUCAGCUUGGUGUUGGGGCCUGCUGCACUGGCAGCCCUUAAAAUCAGUGGCGGCGCCAUCUGGCUCUAAGCGUAGUAAUUCUUCUCGCUAUGGAGUCCUGGUGGAUGCUUGCCAUCAACCCCCAAUUUUUCUAUGGUUGACCUCGGAUCAGGUAGGGAUACCCGCUGAACUUAAGCAUAUCAGUAAGCGGAGGA